rnacentral:tRNA from 1 species
GGAGAGUUGGCCGAGAGGUAAGGCUGCGGCUUGCUAAGCCGUCGACGGGGGAGACCCCGCGGGGGUUCGAUCCCCUCACUUUCCG